rnacentral:lncRNA from 1 species
ACUGCCUUACUGGUAAGCUGACCUCCGCAUUCCCCACCUUUCUGUGCCAUUUGCAAACAUCAACCACAUUACUGUCUGCUACAAAUCCCAUUGUAACAGUAGGACCAACUAAAUGAGUUGAUCUGUAUUAUCAGUGCAUACAACACUAUUACAUUUAUGUACUUCUUCUAAAUGUUUUUUUAAUGUCAACAUCUUCCAGUUCAACCUAGGCCUGUCCCACAGAGUAUAAACAAAGUAUACUAAAGAUUAAUAACAAAAUACCACACUGUAUAUCCAUGUAGUGUAACACAGUAACAAAAUAAGCACAUUUUAUACUGAAGCUCCUUCCAGAUCAUUUUAAUAUUUUCAUCAAUUACAGGAUGGUUUUUAGGUGUACUUUUAUGUCUAAUAAGCCUGAAACUAUAAGAAAUUAAAACAUUUUGGCCAAUUAUAAAUCACAAUACAACUUAUCAUUGCAAAAGUGAGUGGAUGGAGUAAAUUCCUAGUCUGUUUUACUGUCCUACCUUGCUUGAACACAGUCAUUAAUUACAGCGAGUAUUCUUGUGGGAGUGACUCACUCCUACACUGUGAUUUCCUUACAAACUGCUGACAAAGGCUGGUAUUCCUUAGUAGAAAGAAAUCAGUAAGGGACACCCUUUAUUCAUAAAGAUCUGGAUCAUCCUGGCUGUACAUUUGUUGGUCACCCCACUCAUUCUUUGUUCUUACUUCAUACCUAAUUAGACCGUGAGGAAUAGUUCCUACAAUCUUUAUAGUAUUUGUUCUUUCUUAUAUUGCUGAGUUGCAUUUUUUUUUUAUUACAAUGUGUAUUUGAAGUAUUAUUAAUAGCAUCACUGCCUCAUAUUGUAGUAAGAAGGUAAUUCUUUCCUUCCUGCAUUUGUUCCAGGAUGUCUGGAAACUCAGGCCAUCCCGUUGCAUCCUGAGGAUAUUGGUUACUUCUGGCUUACAUGCUUGCAAAAUACGUUGUGAAAACAAUGGCUGUGUGAUGUGACCGCGCUUCCCUGUGACAAGAGUGGAGGUUCUGCACUUGCCCUUCUAUUUCUUCAGAGGCAAAGAGUACAGGUAGAGAUCUUCAAGCUUGAAUAGUCCAUUUAGAGAUCCAUGGUGCAAUUCAUUUUUGCAAUUCAUGGAACCAUAGAAUGGUUUGGGUUGGAAGAAACCUUAAAGAUCAUCUAGUUCAACCAUUUACCAUUUGCAGGGACACCGACAGCUAGAUCAGGCUGCCCAUCCAACCCGGCCUUAAACAUUUCCAGGGAUGGGACAUCCACAGCUUCUCUGGCUGCCUGUUCC